rnacentral:rRNA from 1 species
UACGGAGGGUGCAAGCGUUAUCCGGAUUCACUGGGUUUAAAGGGUGCGUAGGCGGACAGGUAAGUCAGUGGUGAAAUCUCUGGGCUUAACUCAGAAACUGCCGUUGAUACUAUUUGUCUUGAAUAUUCUGGAGGUAAGCGGAAUAUGUCAUGUAGCGGUGAAAUGCUUAGAUAUGACAUAGAACACCGAUAGCGAAGGCAGCUUACUACAGAAUGAUUGACGCUGAGGCAACGAAAAGCGUGGGGGAGCAAACAGG